AUUUAUUUCAUCAUUAUAUGUCUAUUCACUAUCACCGAAGUGUAGUUCUAGACAUCCUGACUUGCCUGGACUGAUAUUAGGCCACUAGAGUAACAGAACAUACAGAAUACGUACAGUGGAGAUGUUACAACUCUUCCCCUUUUAUUUAAAUUUCUUCCUCGAAAUUUAUCCGGUGUAAAUAGUUGAGGAGCUAUUACCUCCUUAUUUCUUCACCUUUCCGUGUUA
rnacentral:misc_RNA from 1 species